rnacentral:rRNA from 1 species
AUGGUCGGCGUCGCCGCCGGCUUCGCGUUCGCGCCGGCCGUGUCCCGGCGGCUGCCAUACAGGCCGUGCUGCUCCACCGCCCACGCCUCGGUGCCCUCCUCCUCGGCGCGGUCGUCGCUGGCCGCGCGGCAGGGGCGGCCGCGGCGGCUCGUCGCGGUCGCCCGCUACUCCGCGUACGGGAGCGACGAGGAAGACGACGAGGAGGGCGGGGCCGGGCGGCGGGACCGCCCCGAGCAGGAGCAGGACCCCGCCCUCGACAUCGAGCGUAUCCAGUCUUCGACCGUCAGGCUGUUGGAUGCCCAGAAAAAUAUGGUUGGUGUUAUAUCUGUAAGCGAGGCAGUUCGAAUUGCAGAUGAAAAUGAUCUUAUGCUGGCAAUAUUGUCACUAGAUGGAGAUCCUCCAGUACUCCGACUCUUUGAAGAGAAAGAUUACAAAAAACACAAGUACGAACAACAGAAGAAGAAAAGAGUUCAGCAGAAAAGAUCCGUUGCAAAACGCAUGGGCUUGAAAGAGCUGAAAAUGGGGUACAACAUUGAUAUUCAUGAUUACAGUGUGAGACUUAGAGCUGCAAAGAAAUUUCUUAAAGCCGGUGACAAGGUUAAGAUAGUGGUAAACUUGAAAGGUCGGGAGAACUUGUACAAAAAACAAGCGAUUGAACUUCUCAGAAGAUUCCAAACUGAUGUUGGUGAGCUAGCGACAGAAGGAAGUAAGAAUUUUGCGGAGAGGAAUAUAUAUUUGAUUCUUGUACCCAAUAAACUAGCUAUACAGAAAGAACAAGAUGGGGUGAGCAAAAAGGAUGCUGUGGAAGGAGAGACGGACCAAUCGGACGAUGAACUGGACGGGGACGAGACUCUGAUCGAACAACUGGAGGGAAGUAGUUUGGAUGGGGAUGAGCCCGUGAUAGAACUGGAGGAAAGUAAGGAACCUGAGACAGAAGUCUCAGCAAAUGUUUGA